rnacentral:rRNA from 1 species
UACGGAGGGUGCAAGCGUUAAUCGGAAUUACUGGGCGUAAAGCGCGCGUAGGCGGCUUGGUCAGUUGGGUGUGAAAUCCCCGGGCUUAACCUGGGAACUGCAUUCAAUACUGCCGGGCUGGAGUAUGGGAGAGGGUAGUGGAAUUCCACGUGUAGCGGUGAAAUGCGUAGAUAUGUGGAGGAACACCCGUGGCGAAGGCGACUGCCUGGCCCAAUACUGACGCUGAGGUGCGAAAGCGUGGGUAGCGAACAGG